rnacentral:rRNA from 1 species
CCGUCCAUACAGGGGGAAGGGUAAACAAGGUUAAGAAAUAGACUGCUAAUACCGCAUAAGCGCACAGUGCUGCAUGGCACAGUGUGAAAAACUCCGGUGGUAUGAGAUGGACCCGCGUCUGAUUAGCUAGUUGGUGGGGUAACGGCCUACCAAGGCGACGAUCAGUAGCCGGCCUGAGAGGGUGAACGGCCACAUUGGGACUGAGACACGGCCCAA